rnacentral:rRNA from 1 species
UACGAAGGACCCAAGCGUUAUCCGGAUUUAUUGGGUUUAAAGGGUGCGUAGGCGGAUUAGUAAGUCAGUGGUGAAAGCCCAUCGCUCAACGGUGGAACUGCCAUUGAUACUGCUAGUCUUGAGUAUGGUUGAGGUGGGCGGAAUGUGUCAUGUAGCGGUGAAAUGCUUAGAUAUGACACAGAACACCAAUUGCGAAGGCAGCUCGCUAAGCCAUAACUGACGCUGAGGCACGAAAGCGUGGGGAGCAAACAGGAUUAGAUACCCUGGUAGUCCACGCCCUAAACGAUGAUAACUCGAUGUUGGCGAUACACAGUCAGCGUCUAAGCGAAAGCAUUAAGUUAUCCACCUGGGAAGUACGACCGCAAGGUUGAA